AGAGUUUGAUCCUGGCUCAGGAUGAACGCUGGCGGCGUGCCUAAUACAUGCAAGUCGAACGAGGUGCUUUUGUAGCAAUACGAAAGUAUCCUAGUGGCGAACGGGUGAGUAACGCGUUGGUGACCUACCCCAAAGUGUGGGAUAACAGUCCGAAAGGAUUGCUAAUACCGCAUGUGGUUAUCAGAUUUAGAAACUGAUAUCUAAAGGAGCAAUUCGCUUUGGGAGGGACCUGCGUCCCAUCAGCUAGUUGGUGAGGUAACGGCUCACCAAGGCGACGACGGGUAGGGGACCUGAGAGGGUGACCCCCACAAUGGAACUGAAACACGGUCCAUACACCUACGGGUGGCAGCAGUAGGGAAUAUUGCUCAAUGGGCGAAAGCCUGAAGCAGCAACGCCGCGUGUGCGAUGAAGGCCUCGGUCGUAA
rnacentral:rRNA from 1 species